CGGGAACCUCGGGCGGCAGCCGGCCACACAGCACCUGGGCGGACCGCAGCUCCGCUCCGCUCUGCCGGGCCGGGGCACCCCAUGGGGAGCGGCCCGAGCGGCCGACAGCCAGCCGGGGCGCAGGGCUGGGACUCCGGGCGGCGGACGUGGGCGCACACCCUGGGCGCGGAUUUGGUGUGUGAUAGUUUGAUCUGAAAUGGCUGGGUUUUUAUCUCAUUAAGUUUUGGAAGCAUCCCAGAAAGUGACCACAAGCUCCUCUCCUACCAGCUUAAGCAAAAAAGUUAGUUACUGUUCCCAACAGAUGGAGCCAAAGAAAAGACAACCUGUAUGUUGUGAUGAGGACUCAUCCAAUCCCCUGCUCCCCACAACCUCUGUUACAGAUGUCCCCAAGAGUAAGAGAUGAGGAGUAACAGAAGCAGAAUGAAAAAAAAAAUUCAACUUCCUUCAAGGGAACAAAACUAUAGUGAGGAUGUUCUGUGACCUUGAAAAUAAUGUGAUUUCUGAUGAAAAGAAUGCCAUUAUGCUUCCUUCCCUCCAUCAUGCAAUAAAUUAACAUUGUUUUGUGAAAUAAGUAUAUGUGAAGCUGAAAUAAGUAUAUGUGAACUUGGAUAAAUGAGUAUCUAAAUACAAACAUUAGGAGGUACAUUAAUAUCAGAGACAUUUGCCAUAAAAACCUGGUUUACCCCUGUAUUUUCAAAACAUACAUGCCCUUACCACUAGAAAUAGUUGUUUUGUCAAUAGCUAUGACAUUGGUAGCUCUUUAUAUGUAAUAACUUACUUGACUAAAUGUUCAAACAUCUCUAAGCCAUAGAAAGUUUGUGACUUGAACAACCUUCAAACCACUGAUAUCCAGAUUUGGAUCCAGCAUAUUUUUUAACCUAGAUCACAGCUGUACACUUAGUCACUAUACAACAAUGGUUUUAAACCCCAAGCUUUAUUAUAUUAAAAUAUUUUUUCAGCAAAUUGAGCUAAAUUGUGUUCAGAGAAUCAGUUGGGAGAGCCAAAGAUAGAAAAGGACUAAGACUUCAGCAGGUCUGUGUCCCUUUGCAGGGCUUUCUGUCCCUGACCUCUUGUUGUUUCUCUAGAGCUGCUCAUGGCAUCCCCUUCCUUCUGCCCUAAUUUCACAACAAGUCUACUUGCCUAAUCUACAAACUACAAGGAGGCUCUGAAAAAAUGUUAAGCUGACAGAAAGAUAGGAGAUUCAAUUCCAAGUUGUUAGCUGGCUCUCUAUAAAGAAUUAUAUUCCAAGAAGUACUUCUCUGGUAGAAUUCCAGUUCCUAGGGCUAGUUAAUAGUACAACUGUGGCCAUUUAUUUAUAACUACUCAGGAAUGUCUUUCCCAGCACUGCUCAUAUCAUUGAAAGUAUAUAAAAGCAGCCUUGUGAGGAACUAAAACGUUCUGAAGAUACACAAUACAUAACCUUAAACAAGAAGUUUUCUCACACAAAAGCAUGAAAACUGAUUCAAACUGACCUGAACUCCUAUAUGGGUGAGUGAGUGCCUCUGAUUUCAGGAGAUAUGUACAUACCUCUUUUGUAAUGCCAAUGUUUUCUUGGAAAUUGCUACAUAAAGGGCAAACUGCAAUGUCUAGGCUCUCUCCUCGGAAUCAAACCUUUCGGGUUGAGUGUCAGUGUCUGGUCACUGUUCUCUUCCCUACUCACUGCAAAAUACAGCAAUUCUAAUUUUAAAUUCCAAUAGUACUGGGAGAUGAGAUUAGUUAAAAGAAUGCCUGCAAUUUAAUCAGUAUGCCAUCCCUAAUUUAAGAAAAAAACUAGUUAAUCACAACUUCUUUCAAAUUCCUUUCCCACAGAUUUUUCUCCUAAAGAAAAUACUAUGCAGCAUUUUAGAGAAAAUAAACUUCUCUAAAUCAGAAGUUUAUAAUAAUGAAAGGGUUCAAGCAUUUUAGGCAAGAGUAUGUUUUUUCUUUAAAUUUCCUGAAUCUGAACAGAUUCUUGAUUUCAAUUAUUAACUGCCCCAAAAAUGAUUUAUCUCUGCUUUUCAAUACAAUAGUUAUCCUCAAAGAGUCACAAAUGUAAAUCAUUAUUCAGAUCAGAAAUAAUUAAAUACAUGAGACAUAAUCUAAAUGGCAUAGUCUUCUAAAACAUGUAUAAAAAUGUCCAAUAGAAGAAUGAAUUAUUUUGAAACUCCCUAAUUUGUGAUCUAGUGUUUAGGUUGAAAACUUCAAAAGAACAGUUCAUGAAGGCUGUGUCACACGUGAACCUGUGUGUGUCUCACAACACUUGGACAUAAGCAAGAUUAAGGUCACUGUAUUAUCUGACCCCUUGUAAAUGAAGACAAGAAAGAUCAGGAAAAAACAUUACUAAUUGGACACUUUCUGGUGUCUGGCAUUAUUCAAGCAAUUUGUCAAGCAACACAAAACAAACAUAUCCCCAAGGUCUCUUAUUGCCUCUACUGUUUUCAUAGAAAAUGAGACUAAAUUGCCCACAUUGCUAGCUAGGGUCAAGACCAAAAUUUGGGACUGACUUCCAUUCCUUGCUUCCAACCAGUUCUGUCUCAGUGGUAACCCACCAGAUUCCUCAGUGCCUAAGAGCUUGUUGUUACUGCUCAACUGCCAAAACAGCACCAUCUUUUUCAUAUAAGUGAACCCGAUGCUAGCAUUUAAUUACAGGUUUAUUCUGAGAUUGUAUGCCGGUACAAGCUGCAUCAUUUGAAUAACAGAAGAGUCCAGAGCUCUGAAAGGGAUGUUCCAGCGAGAGGAAAGCAGAUAGUUUUCUGUCUCAUUUCAGUGAGGAAAAUUGCUAAUUCAUAUGCCACCAGCCAUAGGCAGAAAUACAACCAGAAAUGAAGAAAACUUAACUGCUUUAAAUAAUGUGGUCUGCAGUACAAAUUACGGCACUGUAUGUUGGUUUCCUUUUGCUGCCGAGUUGAUAAUUUGGAUUAUGUAGACAAGCAAUGCAAGACAUUGCUAAAAUUAUUCUUAAAUCUCAGCUCACGGUCUCUGUAAAACACUAGGCAAUUUGCCUGAAAACACACAGAAAAGAUAUUUUAAAAGGAUUGGGAUGGCUUAUUUUCCCCUCUGUUAAAUAUUAGCCUUUGAAAUGAACCCAGCUGAUCUGCCAAAUAACACUUGCAAAUUGUUGUGUUUUAAUAAAGUGACAGACUGAGAGGGAAGCCACACUAGAUCCGCUUAUGCUUCCAGAGGCGUCACAGGCCAGGAACAUUAUGUAAUAAUGCCUUUUAAAAGAGGGGAGGCUCUUAUCAUUACACCUUGCCUGGCAACAAAUGUAGCCACUUACUCCAAAUGCAGGUGUAAUUAGAAUCUAUGAAAUCUAGCGUCAGAAUCCGAACCCCUGGUGCAGUACUCAGUAAAUUAUAGCUUUUAUGUCUGUGAUAUUUUCUACCAUUUCAUUUAAAUAUGUGAAUAUAUGAAUGCGUGAUACUUCAGGAGGUCUGCUCCAUGUUCUAUGGGAAGGUUUUUAUCAUUUCUAAUAAGAUGCUCUUGUAAAUGAAAAACCUCAUUUUCAGGCUUCUGGAAGGUUCGGGACCUGGGUUGCUGCUGGCAGAGGGCAAACCCCAGUGGACUACUCCGUUGAAAAUCCAGAGUGAGCAGUGAGCACAGAGAAAACCUGGGGGACCCAACAUACAAUGGGUACCACCAGAAAGUGUCAUGACUCUUAAAAUUUAACCAGGAAAGCCCAGCUUCAUGCAUUAGUUUGCAAAAUGUUAGCAAAUGUUAGUCUCGUAAAGUAAGCCUGAAAGGACAUUAAUUUUUAAACUAAUACAGUCUAACCAAUAAAAGAAGGUUUUACUUAAAAGCCUUCCUGAAAGUGAUAAAAUUGCUGUUUAAGUGAGCUAAGUAAGAAUUAAUUGUUACUCUAUUUUUCUUUCUUUGCAAAAGGAAAAUAAAUGUUUUAAAAUUUAAAGUUGAAACAGAGAUCUUAAAUGUAUGGGGAGGUUAUUAUGCACAAAGGUGUUGUCCCCAGAUUUGUAACUGGCCUUUGACCUCUGUUUAGGACUGUGAAGAUGUGCUCAGCUGCCUCCUAGAAAUAUUAGAGGAGUCCCAGUCUCUUUCCAAAUACAAGAGUUCCUGUUAGGUUUUCUUCAUUUCUUAAAGUGUUAUGAUUUUUAUUUCCUGGUUAUUAUCCCUUAAACUGAGAGGUGAACGUCAGCCAGUGAGUUAAGAUUUUUAAAAAUAGGUAAUACAGACCUCUAGUGGUUGAAGGUUUGAGAGCCUUGGCAAGGAAAGGCAAUUGUGCAGGCAAGCCCUGCAUUUUAAACAGAACCGUUGUUAGUUAAAAUUACUUACAUGUCAAAAUUCACAUAUUUCAUAGAAACAAAGAGAAGCUAGAAUAUGAGAAUGGCUGGGCAUGCUGUUUUCUUUCAAAUGCUGUAUUCUUUCAGAUGCUAAUUCCUCUCAAACAAGCAAGGACCCUUUGGUUAAACAUCCAGUGAUAUUUUUUCCAUAAGUGGAGCUGACAAAUACUAUGUUAUGUGAAAUAUAUUUUAUUUUCGUUUGCCCUUUAUGGCUUUUGCUCCGUAUUCUAAAAUCUCUCCCUGAAAGCUGGGUCUGCAGAAGCGCCGUUGCCUGUUCUGACCUCUUCCAUCCCUGGGCAGCCACACUCCAGCGAUACGAGCUCAUGUCCUAAGUGUGGCCUCUCCAGGUUACAGAAUUCAAUGGACACAUUUAAGUAGCUACUAACUAUACCUCCAGACCAGUGCAUCUCAAAAUUUAAUGGACACCCAGAUCACCCGGAGAAUCUUCUUAGAGUACAGAGUCUGACUCCCGAGGUUUGAGGUGAGGUUUGAGCUGAGAUUGCUUUGGUCUCAGAUUCUGCUGCAGUGACUCAUUCAGGGCCACCCUGAGAUCAGCAAGCAGGCUGGGUAACAUGGCACUUCCUUUUGUUAAUUAUAUUUUUCCACUGUUACUGAUUGCUUCUUUUUUCUUGUAAGAUUUAAUGAUGUGUCUUAAAAUUCAACUUUUGAAUUUAUAAAACAUUGAAAGGACUCUUUCACUUAACUAUGUAAAAAUAUCUCUGGGAGCUUGUUAUUGAAGUCUUCAAAAGCUGUUUUAAUGUCUUAAAAAUGAAUUCACAGACACUACCUUAGCUUGAUGAAAUCGUAGUGAUCGUGAGCAUCUCUCUGAGCACUCAAGGUUUGGGGGCACUUUAACCACAGUUAAAUAUUCGAAUGACCAUUGGAGAGAGUGGAUGAUACCAUGUUUUAUGCAAGUCAUGAUGUGCAGAAAUAUGACUGGGGCCCAAAGAACACCCGCAUCAUAGCAUCAAGCAGAAUUUUAAAAACACAGCUAAAUCCAUCAAGGUCAAAAGAUCAGAAUAAACAUAAAAAAACAAUUUUUCAGGUCAAAUGUAUUAUAAUUCCAUCAUCUAAAUAAAUUCUUAGCAUAGCAUGCCAUCAACUCUGAUUUUGAAAUUCAUCUUUUAGAACUUAUGUCAUGGGGUAGUCUUUAAAAGCCUCUUACAAACUUUUAACAUCUAGUUUCAAAUCAAAAAUAAUAUAUUAACAAGCUGUAGCAUAGAGGGAGUACAUAAAUUAUCAUCAUUGCCCUGCGUGAAUAGUAAUUCACAGGUUUGGCUCAGACACGAGUUAGAUGAAAUAAUUAACUAUGUACAGUACUUAACAGUAUAAAAGUAAUUAAUCUAGCUGCCUCAUACUGGUUUGGCCUAAAUAAACAUGCAGUAAAAAAGUCAUAGGAUUUUAUUAUUUUUUUCACUCAUGUUAUUGCAUUAGUAAUGUAGAAUGUUAACAUCAGAAGAAUCAUUCCUUUAAUGAAAAAUUUUUUCAUUUCAAGUGGUAAUGUACUGCUUGUAUGAUGAAUGAAUUCCAAAUAUUUAUAAUUGUGGGCAGAUGUUCUCAAUUAAUAAUUUUAUGCAUUCUUCCUAUUGCACAGUUUACUGAAAAUGAUUGUUUUAAAAUUAAGGUAUAAAUGAGAAAAAUGAGAUUUUUAUUACUCCAAAUACAUAGAUUUCGUUAAUGGUUCUGCAAUCCUAUGUUGAUGAAGCCUUGGCAAAAUAUUUCAGACAAAUUUGGGUUUUGUUCAUGGGUUCUAGGUAGAGGGAAGUUGUUUGGCCUAGGCUUUUUAAUAACAGAUCGAAAGGGAAGGGCAAGGUCAUCAGCCUGCAAGAAUUCAAUAGACUACCAUUGCCUAGCAAGAGGAAAAGGAUCAGGCAGCUGGCACUUGUGCUCAUCCUCCAAGCAGCCUUCCAAGUAGCUGGGGUUACAGGUGUGUGCCGCCACACCCGGCUUUGGUCCUCCAUUGAAAUUUAAUUCAUUUCUACAGACAGUCCUUAGCCUGAUGUUAAGGAUUGUAGCAUGUUUUCCCAUAAGGGAUUCCAUUGAUUUUUCAUUGUAGCAUUGUCUCUAUAUCAUAAGUGGACAAAGAAGCAGCAGCGGCUCAGUAGUUCUUCUAAAAUCAAACUGUAGAUAAAUGUAGGGUCAAAAUUCAAAGCCAAUUACUUCUGCUUCCAAUCCUGAUGGUGUAACAAAAACUGGGCUUACCUUCUGAACAAAACAAUUUUAAAAUCCAGACAUUCUGUAUAUAUGAAACAGUGGCUUCAUGAUAGUGGAAAUCAGAUAACAAAGGGCAGUGAUCCCUGCGAGAUAGGAAGAGAGGAGCCUUAAGAUCAUGCCAAUUCUCUGUCUGGCAGAUGUUUCAGUAUAUACAGGAAAGGUGAGCCCGAGCAGGGCAUUUCAUCUCCCUCAAUUGAGGAGAUGGAGGUGAGAGUCCAAUGAGACUAAAAUUCACAGGGCAGAGUACCAGAGAAGGGACAGCUACUUGAAAAAGGGCCUUGAGAUCAGGAAAGGAUACAUAAGGAUGGAUCCUUAUGUUUGGAUACAUCUGAGUAGCUCAGAUGCAUCAAAGGAAUAGAAAUAGUAGUCCCAAAUAUUGUCUCAAGCCAGAAAGCAAUUUUUUUCACACCAGCAAAAGUGGAAAAUGUUAUGAUUCCUAGGCAUCAGGUAGCACAGUCAUAUGGGUUUCACCUCAGAACAGGAAAAAAAAAUCACUCCUAGACUAAAUACUGCUCUGAUCUCAGGUAACAAAACAUAAAACCUAGGCUCAAAAGAAUCAGACUUUGCAUUUAACUCAGCUGCUUCCCAGAACAAACCUGGAGAAUUUUUAUGGAAAACUUCCAAUGCCCAAAUAAAGAAAAAUUCACAGUGUUUGACAUUCAACAUAAAACUAACAGGCAUGCAAAGAAGCAAGAAAGUGUUAGCCAUUAAAAAAUGAAAAGGAACAGACCCAGUAAUAACAGAGUAGAGUUGUUAAACAAGGACAUUAAAUGGUUAUUAUAACAGUAUUUCAAAUGUUUAAGAAGCUAGAUGAAAGUUGGAACAUAAUGAGGUAGAAACAUGGAAGAUGUACAAGACUGACAUAGAACUUCUAGAGAUGAAAACUUCACUGUCCCAGAUGAAAACUCAAGUGGAACUUAAGGUGCUAAGAUCCUACUUGCUCUGCUGCCCCUACAAUAUUCUUUCCUGAAUGAUGAGGUUGAUCCCAACAACUGCUUAGUAUUUGCUUAAUUCUAAAAUGCUCAGAUACCAGCUUCCUUUGCACCGAGGGUUACCCACUGUACAAUUCCAUCACCACCUCACUCAGCCCCUCCUGGCCUGCCCCGAGGGCAUGGACAGCACCCUAGACUGGCAUCCCUGAGAUUGCUCUGGAAAGUAGUCAUCAACAGGCCUCAGCAUGGCUCCUUCUGAGUCAGUUCUAGGAAAAUUUGCAUCAUCAGACACUGCCUUCCAUCUGUGUUUUCUGGCUCCCCUGAACACCCUCGUUGUAAAAGGCGUGAAAUGUUAUUUCCUCACAUGUAACAGAAUUGAUUGGGAAGUUAGCAUUUUGCCAGGUCCUGGCUCAUUCUUAUCCAGGGUACUACAAACUGUAUAAAAUCACAAACUAUUUUCUUCCAGCCAACUAUGCAGUGAACCAAACUGUCAUCCUUCUAUGGAAUUUAAAAUAUCCUCAUGAGAACUAAAGACUUUCUUUCAACAAAGCUGAAAAAGCAGUCACUUAUUUAGAAAUUUUUGGUAGAGCAUGAGUCCCAAAUGAUGUACAUGCUAGCCAAGGGUUACAGUUAAUCAGAAACACUCCCUACACCUCCAGUGCUAACCCUGUGUAACUCCUUCAGUGUAUCUGUCCCAUCAGUGGGCAAAAGACAUGUUCUUUUCUGAACUCUGUUUUCACGUGUAUUCUCAAAUCUGCCGUGCGUGAAUUUACAAAAUAUAUUAGUGUCAAAAAUAUAAAUGUAGCCUUGUAACAUAAGUGUGUAGAUAAUUCUAUACUUGGAGCAUAAAAGUUCACUUAGAAGCAUUUUACUUGAUAAUGAAACUUUCGUGUAUAGCCAUCUCAUCCUGAACCUGUACCUGAUCUUGUCUGAUAAUGAAACUUUCAAACAUAAAUAUUGUAGCACUUACUACAAAUAUUUUAAAGUUGCCCUUUCUCAUUAGAUAUAUAACCAAGGUCAGUGAGUUGACGUGGUCCUAGGAAAUAGGACCUAGGAAUUUAUGACUGAUAACCUUUACACACUGAAUGAUAUUUGUUAAAUAAUGUCAAGAUAAUAUGCAGGAAUACCAUGGAUUCUAUGUGGUAUUCACCCAUGUGAGAUCAUCACGUGCAAAGAGCUACUUUACUGCAAAGUAGCUCUAAGAAAAGAGCUUAAUUGCCUUAACUGUCUUUCACUGUACAGAAAAAAUGAGAAAAGAAAAAUAAAUUCCUUGCAGCAAUACUGAAAGGGGCGAUGAUGGUAUAAAGUCCAGGCUGACCCCUAAGACCUUUCUAGAACACAAGCCAAGCUUUUGUUGUGCACACGCAGAUGAGGCAGCCUGCCAGGGUGAUGGGCAACACUUCAGCCCAUCGUAUCUCUAUGUGUUUCCCACUAUCUUUAGCUCCUGCACCAUGGGGAGUUAGUGGGUGUGGAAAUGGAAGAAGAGAUGCCUAAAUUCUUGAAGUCUAGUUCACUAUUUAGUAUCAUUUCAAGGUACUGAUGUGGGACGUAGAGCAUCUUGCCAUGGCUUCUGUUUGCUUGGCUGUAAAAUUAAGUGGUUGGCUAAGAUGCUAAGCUACAAGUCAGCAACCACAAGACCAACUCUGAUGUGAUCUGCAGUUCCCUUUAGUUCCACAGUGUUGCUUUCUCAUUUGCAUUAAAAACAUUUUAAAUCGAGAUGUUUCACAUAACAUACUGAAGUUUCUGCUUAUCUUUUAAAAAAUCAGCUGGGCACCCCUUACCCCCAGCACAGUUCCCACAUUUGGCUGAUGCUGCAAAGAAAAUGCCUGUGUGCCUCUGAGAAAAAAACAGUGACCCCUCCAUUCUCCAGCAUGGCUACUUCAACCAUUUCUCUUUUUCCCAGGGCCCCUAAAUAUUUGAUUAUGUGAAUCCUGGAGCACUGAAUUUCUGAACACCUUUCAGCAAUAAAAUUCUGUGCAUCUCUGACUUAGGUUGUUUCCAGGGAAGCAAAAAACUAUAGGCUAAAAUAGAUUUCACUUGACUAAUCUGACAGUCAAAAUAACAUUGGUCAUAUAAAAAUUGUAUGUAUUUACUAAGACAGAAGGUAUAUAUUUCUUGUAAGAAUAGAAGCAACACAUUCAAUUCAUAUAGUUUAGAAAUCUCUGUGACUUCCUGAUGCACAUCAAGAGAAAGCUAUUCUCCAAACGUAAUUGAAAGGCUGUAAAUUGCAGAAUGACUAUUUGUGUGUGUGUACUGUGCUAAGGAUCGGACCCAGGGCCUUAACAUUCAGCAGCAUCUCCAAGCCUUUUUCAGUUUUUUUUUUCUUUUUUUUAAUUUUUGAGACAGAGUCUCACUGAGUCAAGUUUGCUCAGGGCUCAAACUUGCAGACCUCCCACCUCACCCUCCUGGAGUGCUGGAAUUACAGAUUUGUGCCACCACAACCAGUGCAGAAUGACUUUUAUGUCAAGAGAAUACCUUCAUUUUUGGUAUAGCAUCAAGUAUGUAAUAUAGAGAGAAAACAGUUUUAAUCUGAUUUUUCUCUUGUACUGAGAUAGGCAGAUUUCUAAAACAUAUUUUCUCUGAAUUGGAACCCCUUCACAGCAAAAUAUUUAAAAUUAUUAGCAUAUUAUAUUAUUCUCCACAAAAUUCUGAUGAACUCACAAAUAUGCUUUCCCUAUUCUGGGUUAAAAAAAAUGACCUAAUUUAUUUCUCCAUUGUCUUAUAUAGCAAUAUAGUAAUACCAAAAAGGUUAUUAGCAAAAACAACAUGUUGUAUAAUUAUUAAAGAGUGAACUCUUGAGAUCAUAUUAAAGAACAGCAAUAACCACAUGUUCAUUCAGAUAACUCAAGAAAGAGACUUAUAUGAAUACUAAGGGAGCUGUAGGCACAGUUUUUUUUUCUGCACCCUGAAUUUUAAAAGAAUUUUUGUCACUUCAUUAGUUAAAGCAUGAUUUGGCAACCAAUGGUCUAUGGUGUGAUUUAUUUUAUUUUAUUUUAUUGCUUCUCUAAAUUAAUCUGGAAAUCACUUCCAUUUUAGAUACUCGUUUUCACUCUUUGAAAGCUAAAUCUUUACAGGAUUACCAACAGAUUAUAUUACCAUAUUGUUAUGUCAAAAGGGCUUCUAACAACCUGCCAGUCUAUUACUUAGUCAUGUGUAAUAAUGUGAGAAAUCGCAUCUGUAAGGUAAAAUCUUACCGAGAUAUUUUAGAACAUGUGUAGGGAUAUACGAGUAUUUAUUGAAAAUAUAGGGACAAUGAUAGUAACAGGUCACAGUUACUGAGUAUGUAAUAUACUCUUUUUCCUCGUGUUUUAUUUAACCCUCAUAUUAACUGUACAAAGUUGGUUUCAAUUCCAUUUUAAAAAUAAGGAAACCAAGGCCAAAAAGUGAGUAAAUUAGUUUAUCACAUGAUUAAUCAGAGAUGGAGCCAGGACCUCACCCCAGACCUUUGUGAACACAAAGCUUGUGGAAGGAUUGUUUCCUAUAAGCAGACAGCUGAUGAACUGCUAACAGUAGCUUGCAUUCCCUUUUAAGCUUCUAAGUACAGAAUAUAUAUCUCUUGCUAUGCAAAGCCCAUUGUAGUGACUUAUUAAACUUACUUUUAUUGUUAGGUAGUUUAUCCAUCUGAAUACAUACGUGGAGAGGAAAAUCAUUUUAAACACGGGUUCUUACAGUAUUCUUCCAAGGUCGAGGCAGAGACUUAUCAGUCUCAUUCCCAUUUCUCAGAUCAAAGUCCAGUGAAGAUUUAAUGAGUUGCUUUUGGUCUUAAUUUCUGAAAGGCAAAGAAAGCGUCCCUGAGACCAUCAUCAUUAAUUCUAAACCAAUGUUUGUUCUAAGUCUUUUUAAUAUAUAUUUUCUACAAUCCAAGUACAAUUUUUAGUUUUUGUUUUUAUUUUUCAUUAGUACAUGUUUGCAAUACCUAAUGAUUUUAUUUCUCAGGGGGAGUUAGUACACGCACAUAACACAUGUUAGUUUUUACCCCCUUCCUCUUCUCUCUUCCCCCCUCCAUCAUCUCUUGAUCCCCUUCACAUUUGAGAAAGAUCUAUCACCAUAUUUCUUAUUAUCUUACAUUUUAGUUUUUCUUUCUUUAUAUAUUGAUUUUCUCAUAUGAGAGAAGCCAUGCGAUAUUUAAGCCUGUUAAUCCUACAAUAAACGGAAAUCCCACUCUAUAAAUUCUUAAAUUAUGUUGCUUUUUCAUUUAAUGCUUUUAGUUUUACAUAUUAAGAUUUGACAUCAGCAUUCCCCAUAAUCUGUUCACUCUUAAUUUUGAGUGUUUCUGUCGAACUGCUCCUUUAUGUUUGUACUUUAUAGGCUUUUUCCUCAUUUCUGUUUUACCCUGAUUAUCCAGGACAGACUGUGUGCAUCUUUUGAAAGCUCUGAUGUUCUCAGUGAAAAGACCUUGUAAAUGACCUUGUUUAUCUCCCACCGAGUUGCAUAUCACGACUUCAAAUGCUUCACUAAAAUGUUACUCGCUUGGCAUCAGUAUACAGAAAAGGCUGCACUCUCCGAUAAGAUGUUCAGUAGGGUUUUCGUAGUAAGAGAAUAGAGUUCUUAAUAGGAAAAGGAGGGAACUGUAAUUUCCUCUGACUUAGCUGAUCUUUCAAACUUCAUGGUGAUUUUUUUCUAGAGCUACCCUACAAGAAAUUUGAAGAGAAUGUAGCGGAAGAACCAAGAAACUAUUAAUAUUGUGGCCUUCGAAGUGUGUGUGUUGGGAGGGGGAUUACAAGUAACAGAAAAUCAAGCUAAAUAACUCAGCUCUGGUUGCCAAAUCUCCAGAAAAUGUCAUUUGUGCCUACAUGUGUGCAUCCUUUUUCUUUCCCACAUUUCUCUACUUGGUUUAAUUCUGAACCUUGAUGACAUGUUAUAAAUUUAACAUGCUACUCCGCAGAAAGAAAAAAACUAAUGUAAAUAAAACUGAAUUUAUUUUCAAAAUUGCAAAAAUCAGUUCAGACCCCAAGGUGCAGAUGGGUGCUCUCUCUCUUCCCUCUGGGAUGUAUGUAUGGUGGUGAUGCCACCAGGGGGCAGGGUUUGACUUCCGGAGUAGGCGGCUUCCUCCCUCUGGUGGACAUUUUGGGACCAGCACAGUAGCCAUGGAGCUGAAGUUUCUAGGAUGAAUCCAUUCAGUCUCUCUUCUAGUGUAUUUGUGCAGAUUUCUGGCAUUCUAGAAAAUUCUCAGAAUCUAUCUUUUGUGGGACCUGUAGUUUUCCCUGGAAGACAGUAAAUGAAACAAAGCUACCAAUAAAAUGCAGUGUAUAAUUAAUUCAUGCCAUAUAAAGUAAGAGCUACAAAUUAUCAUAGUUUAAAAAAAAAAAGUAGGGACCAGAGCAGGGUUUCUCAAAGUAGUAUAUUUUGGGCUAGUUAACAUUUUAUCACGCAUGGUAAAAUAGUAUUAUUAAUUGUAAGUAUUAGAAGCCAAUGCCCUCUUUUAAAAAUGAAAAAUGUGUCCACAUAUUGCUAAGUGGCCCUAGAGGGGAAAAAAAAAUCACUGCUGCUUGAGAAGCACUGGGAUAGAGUACUAACAGAAGACAUUACAAAAAUUAAAAUACUAAUAAUAGAAGCUUUGAGAUAUUUCUUAUAGGAUGUUGAAACUGGAAAGACCUGCUCGCUAAGCCAGUUUUUUCAUCUUAAAAAUAGAAAUGACAGUAACUUCCAUCAAAGGGUUCUUAGAAAGAUUAAAGCAAUUAACACAACACUUGACCCACAGUAAAUAUUCAUUUAAUCAUAAAUGAUAAAUGGUACCAUUAGUAUUAAACCAUCAUUUUGUCCUUCCUAGUGUAAAUCCGAUACUGGCAGAAAUAGAGAAAACUAAAAGUUUUACAUUAAACAAGCUUAAUUGACACUUGUAUGUCAGCUUACGCUCAAGUUAUAUAAAUAAAACAUUGACAUUUUUCCCAUUGACAGAACUAAUCACCACAGGGAUCCUCUGCCUUCCUUUACGUGCGGGUCAGAGAGCAGUACCUUCUCCAUCCCCAGAGGCUAACGUGUAGGUAAUGACAAAGAAAUAAACUCUUAAGUACUUGGCGAUUUCUGCAUAUAGAAAUUCUAUGUAAAUAUUUCUCUGAAAGGAAGUCUUGAGAAAGAUAAUUUACUUUCACCCUCUUAAUUUAUUUAAAGACUUCUCCUAUCUUACCGAAGAUAAGAACUAAAAUUAAGUGGGCAGGAAAAAUAAACAAAAGAAUUCAAACAGCCAUGAGCUUCAGCUGGAAUGAAGUAAACUGCAAAGAUUUUGAAAUUGCAAAGGAAUUGGGCUGCAGAAGUUCAGCCAAAAACUGUUUGUUUAUAAAAAACUAGACUGCGUUAGUAUUUCCAUCAUACCAGCUUAUCAUCUGAAAUUUCUGCUGGCUCAAAUGAAACUGUGCUCUUUCUAUUUCCUACUGGCAGGUUUCCUCCCUAACCACAAUUGCUUUCGGGUUGGAAGCUUGCAACUUUGAGGACAGGAACAGAAUCAGCUUAGCUAGCCGGGAGGACAAGAGGAGAGUUUUAAUAUCUUAUGAAGAAAGGGGAGUGCUAGCCAGGACGUUUCAGCACAGUUCAGGAGUUAAUGUGGACAGCUGCUGACUUGAACAGUUUUGUUCUUGUUGAUAAAAGCGAACAUCCAGUGCAGAAAGUGACGGUGAGGAGAAGAGAAAUUCCUGUGCAAAGUUAAAAACAGGAGAAGACGAGAGUCUCGGUAUGGCACACAGCGUUCAGACAUGUCACCUUGUCCUUCCACAGUUGCUACCGUGUGAAUACUGUGUUGCCUCACCACACAACCCUUCUAGGCAGAAAUGCUAUGCAGUGCCACUCCACAAACCAAGAGGUGCAUUGAUUCCACUUUUAGAGGAGGAACCAACUCUCAGAAGGCAGGGAUGGUGCAUUCCCUUAUACAGCUCUCUCGAAAAGAAUUCGUUUUAAACUCCAGCUCAGACCGUGCGCAAAUUCAGGGAGUAUAUUUCCAUUUCCAAUCUGACACACGACAACUGGCAACUCAUUUAUCGCUAAUGACGUUUUCACAGGAAGCAGCAGUCGCUGGUUUCUCAUCUUAUUUUUCAGUUGGCAAAGUGUUGUUUACCUUUUAUUGGCCCAGCAUCCGGGUGCCCCUUAUCACAGACUGUUUAAUUAGAGAUCCCAAGUAACUCAACAUAGAAGAGAAGUGGAGCGCCAAAUAAAACCAGAUAGAAUGGUCAAAUUUUUUAUCGCAAUCACUGGUUGUAGUAUCAUUCUAAUUCAUAUUUUUAAAUUGUAUAGGAUUUAAGAAGACUUAUCAAAGCAGUCGAGUGCAAGCAGCUUUUUCAUAGUAUUUUUCAGCUCCCACAAAGUCCACCUCUUGCUUGAACUCUAGCUUCUUUACUUCCAGCAGUUUCUUAAUCUCUCUUAAAUUUUGCUUGAAGGAGGAAAUAGUCAUUUCCACUAUAGUAUGAAUUCUGUAACACCAAAAAAGCCCAAAGCUCUAGGAUCUCCACAUGCAUCAUCUCAUUUGUUAUGUCCAACAACAUUAUGGGCUAGAUUGAAUAGACAUUUAUUUUCAUCAUCAUCUACCGUGAACAUCAUUAACACUUUGCAGUUGGAAGAAAGGAAUCACAGGUUAUGUGAAAAGUCAGACAGCCCACAAAGAAGCCCAUGAGAAGCAAAUCACGUACUGAAUUCAGUCAGAUCUUUUGGUUCCUGUCACUACUGUUUCUCCAGCACUUUCCCUUCGGCUCUUCCCUGAGUCACUGUGUUCCUUCUCAAGCAGAUCUUAGUUCAAAUGGGGAGACAGAGGUGGUACCCCACUCAUCUCCCAAGGUAGAGAAAUUUUAGAUGCCUGGAGUAGCAAUGAAGAGCAUUUUAUUAGAUGAGAUCUGCUGGACUUAUUGAGCUGUGCCAGACCUAAAUGUGUGAAGGAAACUCAUAGUUUAAUGACUAAUGCCUAAACAGUAGUUAGGAGUUUCUCAUACUUCAACUUCUGAUGCUUUGUGAAGCCAAACUGAAUCACUUUAGCUCAGAGUACUUUUGUUGUGCAUUGGAUUUGAUUGUACCUAUUAAUCAUGAUUAUCAGCAUUUAAACUACACUUGCAAAUCAAGAUGCCUGCAACGCAGUCUUUUUCAAAUAUUUGUAUGCAUCAGAAUCACCUAGAGAGCUCAUUAAGCAUAGCUUGCUGGACCCCACCCACAGAGUUUCAGACUUAGUUCAUCCUGGGUGGAGCCUGACGUUUGCAUUUCUAGCAAACUCUGGAGUGAAGCUGUCCAAACACCAGCAUUUCAGAAGCAUUGCUGAACAGCCCAGUUAGAGACCUUGGUGAAUGAAGCACCCUGAGCUGUGCUGUCCACAACAGCAGCCUCCCUGGUGGACACGAGCCUGGGAUGGUGGCUGUUUAGGUUGUGCUGGAUGCUUGAAUUCUACUCUGUAUUUUGAAUCUCAAUAAUUGAAUCUCAGUCUCAAUAACUGAAUCUCAGUCUCAGUAAUUAAAUAAAUCAAUAAUUUUCAUAUUGAAACAGUAGUUUGGAUAUGUUGGGUUAAAUAAAAUACAUGAUCAAAAUGACUUUCUCUUUAUUAAUGUGGCUACUAGAUGUGUGGCUUGUAUUAUAUUUCUCUGGACAGUACUGACCUGAAGCAUCAAAACAGAGAGUGGUGGGGAUUACAGAUCUCAAAUCUCCAAAUCUUUAAAUAUUCUCAGGGACAAAGAAAACUCUCUGUUUGUUGGAUUUGACCUAAGGGCCCAGUUUGUACCCAAACACUUACUGCCACAAGUACUAGCUGAAGAACCUGUACAACAUGUACCAUUUCAGCUUUUUGUAGUAUUAAUCAAAGCGUCACUAUAAUUCUUAGGAACAGUGUGAUCGUGAAAAAUAUUUCUAACCCUGAGCUAUUACAUGCAUUGCUCUUACCUUUGACUAUAGAUAGAAUGGUUACAUUUCUCAAAGUGCUUUUGAAUCUUCCCAAGAACUUGCUUUGUAACUGUAUCAGUGGUGAGAUAGAAAUGGGGAUGGGUGUUGGUUUUCCCAUUCUAAAUAUUUUGUAAUAUUUAAGGAAUAGCGAAAGAAAGGUGGUGUGGCUGGGUUAGAGAAAGCGGAGAUGGGUUAGAGACCUUGUGGCUGGGUUAGAGACGGCGCGGCAGGUUAGUGCCGAGCAGAUUCUGCCAGGACUCCAGCCCUGUACUUCUCUGCCAGACUAUUCUACUGUGUUUCAAUUUUCACAAUUUUCCUGCUAAAGAAAGUAAAAGAUAAAGCAUGACAGAUACAAGGCUGAGAUUUUAUAUAUAACAUAACUAUGAUAAAGAAUCAAAUGAACAUAAUCUUUAUUGCGUUUUUUCUUAGGAUAAAAGUUCCUUAAUUCUUCAAAAUGUUGACUAACAAUACUUCAAAUACUAAAUGAUGCCUUACUGUGAAGCUCUCUGCUAAUACCCUGCCACACCUGUAUGUUUUCAUCUGACCAGCCAAACCACCCUAACAAGUUAGCUAACCUUUGAAAAGUUGUGUUUUCCCACAAACAGUGUGAGACUGGGUCCAUUUGGUACAAGUUAUUUUAACAAUUUCACAUUGUGCCUCACAUUUCAUUGGACAAUGUGACAUUGAUUGCCUAACUACAAGGCACGCUUUUAAUUUUGAUCUUCAACCAUGAGUCAUUCUGCCUGUGCCAUUUCAGCUUGUGGCAGUGUUACCAGUGACGCCUGCAAGGCUCACUGGCUUUAGCCCUAAAUGGACUGAAACGGGUUAGUCUAGAAAGAACUCAAAAUUUUCACCUUGACUUCAGUAUUGUCAAGCCACAACCAGCAUAUAUCAGAAACAUUUCUUUGAGUUUUAAAAUAAAGAGGAAAAGGACCGGGGAUUUAGCUCAGUGGCUCAAGCAUUUGCCUGGUAAGUGUAAGGUCAUGAGUUUGAUCCCCAAUUCAAUCCCUGGCACCAAAACUAAAUAAAUAAAAUAAAAGGAAAGAAAGGGAAAAAAUCUUAUAACCCUAAUAGUCUUAUAUCGAGUUUCUUUAAUCAUCUUGAUGAAGGGUAAGUCUUUUCAUUUUGUUGUUCAUUUUUAGUGAAAGAUAAAACUAUUUUCAUUUUGUUUUUAGUACAGAAGUAUUAUGGGUGUAUUUUGGUUGGUUGUUUUGUUUUGUUAGUCAGGGUUUCACUAUGUAGUUCAGGCUGGUCUUGAACUUACCACAUAGCCCAUAUGGCCUUGAAUUCAUAGCUGAUCCUCCUACAAGUGUUGGCACAGAGUUCUUGUUUAACAUAAAAUAGUAUUAAAUUGAUGUGAUGGAAAACACAAGAAAAAGUAAAUGUAAAUGGACAACUGAUUUUAUUUGAAGUAUUAUUCUUUUUUUUUUUCUUUUCUUUUUCCAUGCUGGAAUUGAAUUCACAACCUUAUG